rnacentral:rRNA from 1 species
GACGAACGCUGGCGGCGUGCUUAACACAUGCAAGUCGAGCGGAGCGGCGAACGGGUGAGUAACGCGUGAGUAACUGCCCCCCUCUCUGGGAUAACAGUUGGAAACGGCUGCUAAUACCGGAUAGGGGGGGAUGGCUCGCGUCCUAUCAGCUUGUUGGUGGGGUAGUGGCCUACCAAGGCGACGCCGGGUAGCCGGCCUGAGAGGGCGAACGGCCACAUUGGGCUGGGAUCCGGCCCAAACUCCUACGGGAGGCAGGAGUGGGGAAUAAUGGAGAAUGGGGGAAACCCUGAUGCAGCAACGCCGCGUGCGGGAGGACGGCCUUCGGGUUGAAAACCGCUUUCAGCCAUGACGCGGUAGUGGCAGAAGAAGCACCGGCUAACUACGUGCCAGCAGCCGCGGUAUAC